GUGAGGAAUAUUGGUCAAUGGACGGAAGUCUGAACCAGCCAAGUAGCGUGCAGGAUGACGGCCCUAUGGGUUGUAAACUGCUUUUAUGCGGGGGUAAAGUGAGUGACGUGUCAUUCAUUGCAAGUACCGCAAGAAUAAGGACCGGCUAAUUCCGUGCCAGCAGCCGCGGUAAUACGGAAGGUCCUGGUGUUAUCCGGAUUUAUUGGGUUUAAAGGGAGCGUAGGCCGUCAGGCAAGCGUGUUGUGAAAUGUCGUGGCUCAACCAUGGACUUGCAGCGCGAACUGCCCGACUUGAGUGCGCAGAAAGCAGGCGGAAUUUGUGGUGUAGCGGUGAAAUGCUUAGAUAUCACGAAGAACCCCGAUUGCGAAGGCAGCCUGCUGUAGCGCUACUGACGCUGAAGCUCGAAAGUGCGGGUAUCGAACAGGAUUAGAAACCCUAGUAGUCC
rnacentral:rRNA from 1 species